UAUAAUAUUAUUACAAUGUAGGUGAAUAAUUUGUUCCGUUUUAGGUUGAUGGAGGAAUCCGAUGAACGGGUUCUACUGCAGAACAGAUCGUGUCGCUGAUGGAAAAAACAAUCAAUGUGACAAAGCCGGCUGGUGUGCCCAGGUUGCUGACGCGUGCCCUAGACUCCGGACGAAGCUGGCCAUCAACUUGUAAAUACGGCCAAGCGGUGGAAAGUUUCCUUCGCACCGAGGAAGAAAAGUUGAACAAAUUUGCCAAGCAGGCUCUGAAGGCGUAGGCCGGAGGCCAUCAAGUAUGUUCUGCCCAAAGAUUUGAAAGUGGUUCCGCAGCAUACGGUUCGGAGCAGUGCCGGAAAGAGUCCACUAGUGAAGAGAAGAAAGUACUGGAGUACAUGCCGCACACCAACUCAAAGAUUUAUUAAGGCAUACGUUCCGUUCAUGGAUAUCGAUCUGAUGGAGAAGUUUUUUUUUCGCUUUCGGAUUGCUAUGUUCUGCUGGAGUUGGCCCCCAAACAGAAGCGAGACUUUGUGCAGUGGAUCCGAGUUAACGAGCUCAACGAAAACCCGGUGCUAAUCGCAGAGGAACAUGCGGAUUUCUACCACCAGACGGUGGUUUCGGAUUGUAGCUUUGUGACAUUGUUGGCGGAACUUGUACGAGAAGAAGUAUCGAUUUUUUAUUCUAGUUAUAAUCAUAGUUGAAAGUAUUGGACCCGGAUGCACGUCAAUGGGAUCUCGAGGAAGGACUUUAUUGGCGAUUGAUUGCCAAUGCCUCGGAUGGAGAAAGCCUUCAUGAAGCUAAUAGGAGGAUACGAUUUUCUAAUAGAAGCUAAACUUCAGAAUCUGCCACGACAUUCUGGAACUAGUAGAAUCCCCACAAACACGUAGCCCUGUUCAAAGGUCUGCACAAGGUAGAACGCAUCCCAAAGGCGCGGUAAUGAUCGGUAGGAUCGAAGGACAGUUUCUACAGGACCGUACGUAUUACGACGGAUUCGACGGUUCCGCCGAAAACUAACAAUCCACUGGAAGUUGGAAUAGUACCGCAGGGAAACCGAAGUAUCAAACACGAGAAGAACGGGAAAUGUUUAUUUGAAGCACAUCUCGGUCAGCAUUUAAUUAUUUUUUUGGAAGCAAAAACACAGCGCCAUCAUCAAGCUUGCGGGAAAAGAUAGAACUAAAAUAGUGGUACAAGUAUGCCUUGCUUUUGGUUGUUGCGGUUGUUAUUAACUUGCAAGUCGCUUGGUAGGAAUAGAGCCGCUCAGAGCUCUAAUGAGGUCUUUUACGUACAGGUAUUCUUGGUUUCGCUGAGCCUGGAAGAAGGCCAAGGAGCAUUCAGCCCCGCCGUGAUGUUCUUGUUUACGACGUCCGUAUCGUUACGUUCGUCAAAUCGUAAUUCGAUCGGAAUCCCGAUUCGUGACGAGGAAUGAGACUGUGUUAAGGAAUCUGUGCAUAUCCAUAUUGCCAACCUGUGCCAACUAUGUCCAUGGAAUUUCGGAUGACGAUUUGUCCUGACGACCUGUCCUGCUAGGGAUUUCAUUUAGCAUAGUGGUUAAAACUAUAGAUCGCCAAUUCGGAGACGGCGGGUUCGAUUCCCGUUCCAGUCGGGAAAAUUUUCUCGACUCCCUGGGCAUAGUGUAUCAUUGUACUUGUCUCACAAUGUACAAAUUCAUGCAAUGGCAGGCAAAGGAAGCCCUUCAAUUAAUAACUGUGGAACUGAUCAAAGAAACUAAGUUGAAGCGAGGAGCGAGGCAGGCCAAGUCCCAGUGGGGACGUCGAGCCAUAAAGAAGAAGAAAAAGAAGAUUUGUCCUGGUUGAACUAUAGACUAAUUUGCACCAUCUGAAGGAAAAAUUAGGAUCCGUUCCGAGACCUUCGAGGACGCCGGGCUCAGCUUGUAUUCUGAUCUUUCGGAUGCUCAUUAUUUUGAACGAAUGAUUCCACUGUACUAAUGGUGUGGAACUCCAAAUAAAGUUAUGAUUA